UUAAGCGACUAAGCGUACACGGUGGAUGCCUUGGCAGUCAGAGGCGAUGAAGGACGUGCUAAUCUGCGAUAAGCGUCGGUAAGGUGAUAUGAACCGUUAUAACCGGCGAUUUCCGAAUGGGGAAACCCAGUGUGAUUCGUCACACUAUCAUUAACUGAAUCCAUAGGUUAAUGAGGCGAACCGGGGGAACUGAAACAUCUAAGUACCCGAGGAAAAGAAAUCAACCGAGAUUCCCCCAGUAGCGGCGAGCGAACGGGGAGCAGCCCAGAGCCUGAAUCAGUGUGUGUGUGUUAGUGGAAGCGUCUGGAAAGGCGUGCGAUACAGGGUGACAGCCCCGUACACAAAAAUGCACAUACUGUGAGCUCGAUGAGUAGGGCGGGACACGUGGUAUCCUGUCUGAAUAUGGGGGACCAUCCUCCAAGGCUAAAUACUCCUGACUGACCGAUAGUGAACCAGUACCGUGAGGGAAAGGCGAAAAGAACCCCGGCGAGGGGAGUGAAAAAGAACCUGAAACCGUGUACGUACAAGCAGUGGGAGCACGCUUAGGCGUGUGACUGCGUACCUUUUGUAUAAUGGGUCAGCGACUUAUAUUCUGUAGCAAGGUUAACCGAAUAGGGGAGCCGAAGGGAAACCGAGUCUUAACUGGGCGUUAAGUUGCAGGGUAUAGACCCGAAACCCGGUGAUCUAGCCAUGGGCAGGUUGAAGGUUGGGUAACACUAACUGGAGGACCGAACCGACUAAUGUUGAAAAAUUAGCGGAUGACUUGUGGCUGGGGGUGAAAGGCCAAUCAAACCGGGAGAUAGCUGGUUCUCCCCGAAAGCUAUUUAGGUAGCGCCUCGUGAAUUCAUCUCCGGGGGUAGAGCACUGUUUCGGCAAGGGGGUCAUCCCGACUUACCAACCCGAUGCAAACUGCGAAUACCGGAGAAUGUUAUCACGGGAGACACACGGCGGGUGCUAACGUCCGUCGUGAAGAGGGAAACAACCCAGACCGCCAGCUAAGGUCCCAAAGUCAUGGUUAAGUGGGAAACGAUGUGGGAAGGCCCAGACAGCCAGGAUGUUGGCUUAGAAGCAGCCAUCAUUUAAAGAAAGCGUAAUAGCUCACUGGUCGAGUCGGCCUGCGCGGAAGAUGUAACGGGGCUAAACCAUGCACCGAAGCUGCGGCAGCGACGCUUAUGCGUUGUUGGGUAGGGGAGCGUUCUGUAAGCCUGUGAAGGUGUGCUGUGAGGUAUGCUGGAGGUAUCAGAAGUGCGAAUGCUGACAUAAGUAACGAUAAAGCGGGUGAAAAGCCCGCUCGCCGGAAGACCAAGGGUUCCUGUCCAACGUUAAUCGGGGCAGGGUGAGUCGACCCCUAAGGCGAGGCCGAAAGGCGUAGUCGAUGGGAAACAGGUUAAUAUUCCUGUACUUGGUGUUACUGCGAAGGGGGACGGAGAAGGCUAUGUUGGCCGGGCGACGGUUGUCCCGGUUUAAGCGUGUAGGCUGGUUUUCCAGGCAAAUCCGGAAAAUCAAGGCCGAGGCGUGAUGACGAGGCACUACGGUGCUGAAGCAACAAAUGCCCUGCUUCCAGGAAAAGCCUCUAAGCAUCAGGUAACAUCAAAUCGUACCCCAAACCGACACAGGUGGUCAGGUAGAGAAUACCAAGGCGCUUGAGAGAACUCGGGUGAAGGAACUAGGCAAAAUGGUGCCGUAACUUCGGGAGAAGGCACGCUGAUACGUAGGUGAAGCGACUUGCUCGUGGAGCUGAAAUCAGUCGAAGAUACCAGCUGGCUGCAACUGUUUAUUAAAAACACAGCACUGUGCAAACACGAAAGUGGACGUAUACGGUGUGACGCCUGCCCGGUGCCGGAAGGUUAAUUGAUGGGGUUAGCGCAAGCGAAGCUCUUGAUCGAAGCCCCGGUAAACGGCGGCCGUAACUAUAACGGUCCUAAGGUAGCGAAAUUCCUUGUCGGGUAAGUUCCGACCUGCACGAAUGGCGUAAUGAUGGCCAGGCUGUCUCCACCCGAGACUCAGUGAAAUUGAACUCGCUGUGAAGAUGCAGUGUACCCGCGGCAAGACGGAAAGACCCCGUGAACCUUUACUAUAGCUUGACACUGAACAUUGAGCCUUGAUGUGUAGGAUAGGUGGGAGGCUUUGAAGUGUGGACGCCAGUCUGCAUGGAGCCGACCUUGAAAUACCACCCUUUAAUGUUUGAUGUUCUAACGUGGACCCGUGAUCCGGGUUGCGGACAGUGUCUGGUGGGUAGUUUGACUGGGGCGGUCUCCUCCUAAAGAGUAACGGAGGAGCACGAAGGUUGGCUAAUCCUGGUCGGACAUCAGGAGGUUAGUGCAAUGGCAUAAGCCAGCUUGACUGCGAGCGUGACGGCGCGAGCAGGUGCGAAAGCAGGUCAUAGUGAUCCGGUGGUUCUGAAUGGAAGGGCCAUCGCUCAACGGAUAAAAGGUACUCCGGGGAUAACAGGCUGAUACCGCCCAAGAGUUCAUAUCGACGGCGGUGUUUGGCACCUCGAUGUCGGCUCAUCACAUCCUGGGGCUGAAGUAGGUCCCAAGGGUAUGGCUGUUCGCCAUUUAAAGUGGUACGCGAGCUGGGUUUAGAACGUCGUGAGACAGUUCGGUCCCUAUCUGCCGUGGGCGCUGGAGAACUGAGGGGGGCUGCUCCUAGUACGAGAGGACCGGAGUGGACGCAUCACUGGUGUUCGGGUUGUCAUGCCAAUGGCACUGCCCGGUAGCUAAAUGCGGAAGAGAUAAGUGCUGAAAGCAUCUAAGCACGAAACUUGCCCGAGAUGAGUUCUCCCUGACCCUUUAAGGGUCCUGAAGGAACGUUGAAGACGACGACGUUGAUAGGCCGGGUGUGUAAGCGCAGCGAUGCGUUGAGCUAACCGGUACUAAUGAACCGUGAGGCUUAACCUU
rnacentral:rRNA from 1 species